rnacentral:lncRNA from 1 species
AAAAUACAUCUCUUGUAGAACUUUGAGGCUGUCCAUAGAAAAAAUUGCAGUCUUGUCAAGCAAACCAUCACAGAGGAGUACUUAUUUUCUGGCCUGCCAAAAAAAAAAGUGAUUUUGAGAGCUGUGUUUGCACUUAGUGUGGAGGCAAAGAUGAAGCACAUCUAGCAACAGCUCAGCUGAGCUCAGCUUAUCUGAGCUCUCAAUCCCAUAUAUUCCACUUUAGUAAUGAAACGAGAUCUCUUCUUUCAUUCCUUGUUCCAGUGGAAGAAAAUGGUAGGCCAGUACUCACAGGAACUGUGAAAUAAGUAGAACCCUGCACCAUCCAUGCCCUUCCUGGACAAGUUUUUGCACCCAAUACAGUGUGAGAGCAAAGUAUCUAUGCAGGGCUGAAGCAUUUCCUGCUCUGCAGGCCUGCAGCAGGCACAAAUGCACUCAACAGUCCUAUAGAGAACUUGAAAAAGUGGCUUGAGGGAUAAAUGUCUGCUUGUUUAUUGGAAUGGAUUAAAAGAAAGAAAAGUAAAUGUCAUGUCUAAGUACUAAGAUGUGCUGCGGUGC